rnacentral:misc_RNA from 1 species
UGAGGAAAUUUAUUCAGUUGCUCAUACAACCAUUUAUCAGUUAUGUGAGCCUCAAAUAUAUGUAAGCUCCUCAAAUUUUUCAAGGAAGCUACCUUUAAUACAGAAGGCCAAGUUGGACCUUGCAGAGUGAAUGAGUGAAGAUUUGAUGUUUCCAUCUUAAGUCGCUCAAAAUGAACAAUGUCUUCUCACUUCUGCAUGGAAUUUGAUGAGAUUAACAAGAUCAAAUAUCUGUAGAGUCUUAAUACCAUAGCAGGUAAUGAAACUCAUAUCUUCAAUUAGAGGAGAUCCAGCAAUAAGUUUGCUAAUUACAUCAUCAUCUGCAAAAACAACUCUAAGGGACAGCUUUUUCAAGAAAGGUAAUGUUAUACUACCGAUAGAUGGCACAUGCAACUUGUAG